rnacentral:miRNA from 1 species
AAUGACACGUUUUCUCCC